rnacentral:rRNA from 1 species
CAGCCGCCACGGGAAUACGAAGGGUGCAAGCGUUAAUCGGAAUUACUGGGCGUAAAGCGUGCGCAGGCGGUUUGUUAAGACAGAUGUGAAAUCCCCGGGCUCAACCUGGGAACUGCAUUUGUGACUGGCAAGCUAGAGUGUGGCAGAGGGGGGUGGAAUUCCGCGUGUAGCAGUGAAAUGCGUAGAUAUGCGGAGGAACACCGAUGGCGAAGGCAGCCCCCUGGGCCAACACUGACGAUCAUGCACGAAAGCGUGGGGAGCAAACAGGAUUAGAUACCCCAGUAGUCCCUGUCUCUUAUAC